rnacentral:rRNA from 1 species
UACGUAGGCAGCGAGCGUUGUUCGGAGUUACUGGGCGUAAAGAGUGCGUAGGCGGUUUUCUAAGUUUGGUGUGAAAUCUCCCGGCUUAACUGGGAGGGUGCGCCGAAGACUGGAAGGCUAGAGUAUGGGAGAGGUAAGCGGAAUUCCUGGUGUAGCGGUGAAAUGCGUAGAUAUCAAGAGGAACACCAGUGGCGAAGGCGAGUCCCUGGACAACACCUGACACUGAGGCACGAAAGCUAGGGGAGCAAACAGG